GAUGAACGCUGGCGGCGUGCCUAAUACAUGCAAGUCGAGCGAACAGACGAGGAGCUUGCUCCUCUGACGUUAGCGGCGGACGUGUGAGUAACACGUGGAUAACCUACCUAUAAGACUGGGAUAACUUCGGGAAACCGGAGCUAAUACCGGAUAAUAUAUUGAACCGCAUGGUUCAAUAGUGAAAGACGGUUUUGCUGUCACUUAUAGAUGGAUCCGCGCCGCAUUAGCUAGUUGGUAAGGUAACGGCUUACCAAGGCAACUAUGCGUAGCCGACCUGAGAGGGUGAUCGGCCACACUGGAACUGAGACACGGUCCAGACUCCUACGGGAGGCAGCAGUAGGGAAUCUUCCGCGAUGGGCGAAAGCCUGACGGAGCAACGCCGCGUGAGUGAUGAAGGUCUUCGGAUCGUAAAACGCUGUUAUUAGGGAAGAACAAAUGUGUAAGUAACUAUGCACGUCUUGACGGUACCUAAUCAGAAAGCCACGGCUAACUACGUG
rnacentral:rRNA from 1 species